ACGUGAUCUGAGUUCAGACCGGAGUAAUCCAGGUCAGUUUCUAUCUAUAAAGAGCUCUUUCUAGUACGAAAGGACCGAAAAAGCAUGGCCCAUGUGUCUCACAAGCCAUAAAUGAUAAUUUUUGAUUUAAACUUAAUUAAUAUUCAAUCUUUAAUAUAGCUCAAGAAAAGAGCA
rnacentral:rRNA from 1 species